rnacentral:rRNA from 1 species
AAGCUCAUUAUAUCAGUUAUAGUUUAUUUGAUGGUACCCUUACUACUUGGAUAACCGUAGUAAUUCUAGAGCUAAUACAUGCCCGGUAACACUGAUCCUUCGGGAGAGGUGCGGACUUAUUAGAUACAAAGCCAAUCUCACUUCGGUGAGUCGUUGGUGGAAUCAUAGUAAUUCCUCGAAUCGCAUGUCUUCGGACGGCGAUGGGUCAUUCAAAUUUCUGCCCUAUCAGCUUGUUGUUAGUGUAGUGGACUAACAUGGCUAAAACGGGUGACGGAGGAUUAGGGUCUGAUUCCGGAGAGGGAGCCUGAGAAAUGGCUACCACUUCCAAGGAAGGCAGCAGGCGCGUAAAUUACCCAAUCCCGACACGGGGAGGUAGUGACAAGAAAUAACAAUACCGGACAUUUCUAAUGUCUGGUAAUUGGAAUGAGUACAAUCCAAAAUCCUUAACAAGGAACAAUUGGAGGGCAAGUCUGGUGCCAGCAGCCGCGGUAAUACCAGCUCCAAUAGCGUAUAUUAAAGUUGUUGCAGUUAAAAGGCUCGUAGUCGAACUUAUGGCCUUGCGAACCUGGCCCGGGGACUUGUUCCUCGUCGUGACGGGUUUGCAGGUCAUCCUUGAGAGGAGUGUCGCUGUCCUUCACUGGUCGGCGGCACGAGUCUCAUCCUUUACUGUGAGAAAAACAAAGUGUUCAAAGCAGGCUUCACGGCUUGUAUGCAUUAGCAUGGAAUAAUAAGAUAGGACUUUGGUUCUAUUUUGUUGGCUUAUUGAACCGAAGUAAUGAUUAAUAGGGGUAGUUGGGGGUGCUCGUAUUUAACGGUCAGCGGUGAAAUGCAUGGACCCGUUAAAGACGAACUAAUGCGAAAGCAUUCACCAAGGAUACCUUCUUUGAUCAAGAACGAAAGUUGGGGGAUCGAAGACGAUCAGAUACCGUCGUAGUCUCAACCAUAAACUAUGCCAACUAGGGAUUGGCGGUAGUUGAUCAUGACCCCGUCAGAACCUUAUGAGAAAUCAAAGUCUCUGGGUUCUGGGGGGAGUAUGGUCGCAAGGCUGAAACUUAAAGGAAUUGACGGAAGGGCACCACCAGGAGUGGAGCCUGCGGCUUAAUUUGACUCAACACGGGGAAACUUACCAGG